AGAGGAUACCCUUUGUAUGUUCACUUGAUUAAUGGCGAAUAUACAGGGGGAGACUCUUAU
rnacentral:pre_miRNA from 1 species